GGGACGAGGGGAGGGACAGGAUGGCGCGGCACGUGGGUUUGUAACACACGCGGGUUAGUUGGCGGAAGUGAGUGUCUUGGUUGGGAGCGCUUUUGAUCUGUAGUCGUGAACCCACAACAUCUGUUGUUGCAACAAUGACGAAGAG